rnacentral:lncRNA from 1 species
GAAGAGGUGAAGCCAAAUCCAAUCAAGGCAGGAACUCAGACCUGCCCUUUGGGAAGUGUAUGAGUCUGAAGCUGCUUCCCAGGUUAGGGUCCCCAGCUUUUUAAGGACAAGUCUCUCUGUGGAGUGUUAAGCAGACCAAAGGCUGGUUCCUCCUUCCCAAACUUCCUGGUGGGGAAGUUUUAUCCCAUGUGAGAGCUCAUGACACCAGGUGGCAUCAACAUGUUUAUUGAACACCUACUUUGCAUAUGGUAUUACAAGGGGACAGAGGUGUGGAAGAAAAAUUGAACACCACCCUCAAAGAGCUCACCUUCUAGCUGGGGAGACAGCUUAUGUACACAUGCAGGCAUCGGAUGGCUCACCGACGGCACCAUAUGCCUGCCAUCAUCAUUAUUGUUGGAGCUCAAGUACCCAGGACUGGGUAACAAGAAAGGCUUUCUGGAGGAGGAAAAACUUGAGCUGGGCUUCAGAAGACCAAGCGUCUCAGACUGGAAGGGGCCUUGGCGAUCAUUUAUUCCAGCAGUUUUCAAAUUUUGUAGCCUCAGGACCCUUUCUUCAAAGAAGCUCUGUGUGGAAAAACAAUAUAUAAAACAGAAAACUGAAGCCUUCAAAUAGAAAUUUCCUCACCUUCAAGGCACCAAAGCCGCAACUUACCUACCCCCGCUCCUGCCUGCUCCUCUCCCCAUCCCUUCUGCUACAACGAAGGAAGCAGUAAUGGCUCCAUCAAUGGCUUCUCACACUUGGUGUCAGAGGCCUUCACAUGAGGGUUUGCACUCCCCUACAAGGACAUGAAGACUUUCUAGAAGGUAGGUGGACACAGAUAGUUUUAAAGUAAUCCGUUUCCAGAGCCGCCUUCUCCAUAUGUUCCCCUCCUCAUAUUGGUGGGCCUAAGAAGAAGCCACAGGCCUGACAGCUGUCCUUCCCAACUUCCACUUUCCCAGUUGCCUCCCCUCCCUCAUUCUGAAUCCUA